rnacentral:rRNA from 1 species
GUGUCAGCCGCCGCGGUAAUACGAAGGGGGCUAGCGUUGUUCGGAAUUACUGGGCGUAAAGGGCGCGUAGGCGGUUUGACCAGUCAGGUGUGAAAUUCCCGGGCUUAACCUGGGGGCUGCACUUGAUACUGUCAGGCUUGAAUUCGGGAGAGGAUAGUGGAAUUCCCAGUGUAGAGGUGAAAUUCGUAGAUAUUGGGAAGAACACCAGUGGCGAAGGCGACUAUCUGGACCGACAUUGACGCUGAGGCGCGAAAGCGUGGGGAGCAAACAGGAUUAGAAACCCUCGUAGUCC